GCAGCGUUUUCUAAAUUAGACAAAAGAGCAGAGGCCUCCCCAAAAGACUAAGCAGGAGCCAAGGCUGUCAGGAUCUCAGCCAGGAGAACAUGAGCUGCUACCCUUGCGGAACCAACCGUAAUUUCCAUGGGGGAUCUUUAAUAUUUAUGGUCUUUUGAGGACUGUGGCAUGUCAUUGCAAGUUUGACACCUGCCGAGGGUAGCAAACCAGAACGUGAUGGCAUAAUAUCCAAAUGCAUCCAGACAAAGAUGUUUCUUUCAGAGAACAUGAGGUAGGAUAAGGUUACUGAUUUCACCAGAGUUUCUAUUUUAGUUUU
ensembl:lncRNA